AUUGAACGCUGGCGGCAGGCCUAACACAUGCAAGUCGAACGAGUGGCGGACGGGUUAGUAAUGACUGGGAAAGUGCCCGAUGGAGGGGGAUAACUACUGGAAACGGUAGCUAAUACCGCAUACCAUCGGGUGGGCCGAGAUGGGAUUAGCUAGUAGGGGGGGUAACGGCUCACCUAGGCGACGAGCCCUAGCUGGUCUGAGAGGAUGACCAGCCACACUGGAACUGAGACACGGGCCAGACUCCUACGGGAGGCAGCAGUGGGGAAUAUUGGACAAUGGGCGAAAGCCUGAUGCAGCCAUGCCGCGUGUAUGAAGAAGGCCUUCGGGUUGUAAAGUACUUUCAGCGGGGAGGCGUUACUCGCAGAAGAAGCACCGGCUAACUCCGUGCCAGCAGCCGCGGUAAUUC
rnacentral:rRNA from 1 species